rnacentral:rRNA from 1 species
GAUGAACGCUGGCGGCGUGCCUAAUACAUGCAAGUAGAACGCUGAAGGAGGAGCUUGCUCUUCUGGAUGAGUUGCGAACGGGUGAGUAACGCGUAGGUAACCUGCCUGGUAGCGGGGGAUAACUAUUGGAAACGAUAGCUAAUACCGCAUGACAACAGUUAUUGCAUGAUAACUGUUUAAAAGGGGCAACUGCUCCACUACCAGAUGGACCUGCGUUGUAUUAGCUAGUUGGUGAGGUAACGGCUCAACAAGGCGACGAUACAUAGCCGACCUGGGAGGGUGAUCGGCCAAACUGGGACUGGGACACGGCCCAGACUCCUACGGGAGGCAGCAGUAGGGAAUCUUCGGCAAUGGACGGAAGUCUGACCGGGCAACGCCGCGUGAGUGAAGAAGGUUUUCGGAUCGUAAAGCUCUGUUGUAAGAGAAGAACGAGUGUGAGAGUGGAAAGUUCACGCUGUGACGGUAUCUUACCAGAAAGGGACGGCUAACUACGUG